rnacentral:rRNA from 1 species
AUUAAUUGUCAAUUAUAAAUUUUCAAUUAUCAAUUCAAACAAAUUGCAGAGCAAUUUGUGAUAAGCUAGUGGCGAACGAGUGAGUAACGCGUGGGAAACUGCCCAUCACUGGGGAAUAACGUUUGGAAACGAACGCUAAUACCGCAUACGCCGGAAACGGGAAAGAUUUAUCGGUGAUGGAUGUGCCCGCGUUGGAUUAGCUUGUUGGUGGGGUAACGGCCUACCAAGGCGAUGAUCCAUAGCUGGUCUGAGAGGACGAUCAGCCACGCUGGAACUGAGACACGGUCCAGACUCCUACGGGAGGCAGCAGCUAAGAAUAUUGGGCAAUGGAGGAAACUCUGACCCAGCCAUGCCGCGUGAAUGAAGAAGGCCUUCGGGUUGUAAAGUUCUUUUAGUCGUGAAGAUGAUGACAGUAGCGACAGAAAAAGCACCGGCUAACUUCGUGCCAGCAGCCGCGGUAAUACGAAGGGUGCAAGCGUUGUUCGGAUUUACUGGGCGUAAAGCGUCCGCAGGUGGUGACUUAAGUCAGGGGUGAAAUCCCGGGGCCCAACCCCGGAACUGCCUUUGAUACUGGGUCGCUGGAGCGUGAUAGAGGAAGAUGGAAUAUCUGGUGUAGGGGUGAAAUCCGUAGAUAUCAGAUGGAACACCAAUGGCGAAGGCAGUCUUCUGGAUCAUUGCUGACACUCAUGGACGAAAGCGUGGGGAGCAAACAGAAUUAGAUACUCUGGUAGUCCACGCCCUAAACGAUGCAUGCUUGUUGUUAGGCUCCUUCGGGGGUUUAGUGACGUAGCUAACGCGUUAAGCAUGCCGCCNNGGGGAGUACGAUCGCAAGAUUAAAACUCAAAGGAAUUGACGG